rnacentral:rRNA from 1 species
GAUGAACGCUGGCGGCGUGCCUAAUACAUGCAAGUCGAGCGAACAGACGAGGAGCUUGCUCCUCUGACGUUAGCGGCGGACGGGUGAGUAACACGUGGAUAACCUACCUUUAAGACUGGGAUAACUUCGGGAAACCGGAGCUAAUACCGGAUAAUAUAUUGAACCGCAUGGUUCAAUAGUGAAAGACGGUUUUGCUGUCACUUAUAGAUGGAUCCGCGCCGCAUUAGCUAGUUGGUAAGGUAACGGCUUACCAAGGCAACGAUGCGUAGCCGACCUGAGAGGGUGAUCGGCCACACUGGAACUGAGACACGGUCCAGACUCCUACGGGAGGCAGCAGUAGGGAAUCUUCCGCAUAGGGCGAAAGCCUGACGGAGCAACGCCGCGUGAGUGAUGAAGGUCUUCGGAUCGUAAAACUCUGUUAUUAGGGAAGAACAAAUGUGUAAGUAACUAUGCACGUCUUGACGGUACCUAAUCAGAAAGCCACGGCUAACUACGUG